rnacentral:rRNA from 1 species
ACAGUGAGUAGCUUGCUAUGAGCUGUUUUAGCGGCGGACGGGUGAGUAACGCGUGAGCAACCUUUCCCAGACAGGGGAAUAACACACCGAAAGGUGUACUAAUACCGCAUAAGACCACGGGAUCACAUGGUUCUGAGGUAAAAGAUUUGUCGGUUUGGGGUGGGCUCGCGUCCGAUUAGGUAGUUGGUGAGGUAACGGCCCACCAAGCCGACGAUCGGUAGCCGACCUGAGAGGGUGAUCGGCCACAUUGGGACUGAGACACGGCCCAAACUCCUACGGGAGGCAGCAGUGGGGAAUAUUGGGCAAUGGAGGAAACUCUGACCCAGCAACGCCGCGUGGAGGAAGAAGGUUUUCGGAUCGUAAACUCCUGUCCUUGGAGACGAGUAGAAGACGGUAUCCAAGGAGGAAGCCCCGGCUAACUACGUGCCAGCAGCCGCGGUAAUACGUAGGGGGCAAGCGUUGUCCGGAAUAAUUGGGCGUAAAGGGCGCGUAGGCGGCUCGGUAAGUCUGGAGUGAAAGUCCUGCUUUUAAGGUGGGAAUUGCUUUGGAUACUGUCGGGCUUGAGUGCAGGAGAGGUUAGUGGAAUUCCCAGUGUAGCGGUGAAAUGCGUAGAGAUUGGGAGGAACACCAGUGGCGAAGGCGACUAACUGGACUGUAACUGACGCUGAGGCGCGAAAGUGUGGGGAGCAAACAGGAUUAGAUACCCUGGUAGUCCACACUGUAAACGAUGAAUGCUAGGUGUAGGGGGUAUCGACCCCUUCUGUGCCGCAGUCAACACAAUAAGCAUUCCGCCUGGGGAGUACGGCCGCAA